AUCUGGAUAGCUCAGUUAGUUAGAGCAUGGUGCUGAUAGCGUCAGGGUUGCAGGUUUGAUCCCUGUGUGGGACA